rnacentral:lncRNA from 1 species
GUAUAAUGAAAUUUUAAAUAUCAUUCUAUGAUAUCUUUUGGAAUAAAAAUUCUAAAAGAUGUACAGUACAUUUAGAAUUUUAAAUAUUGAUAAAAGGAAAAAACUACAGAUGUUUUGGUUUAACACAUUUCAAAUGAAUGUAUGGAAUACUCGAGUAAACAAAACUUUAAACUUCCAUCAUCUCGUAACAGAACUUCUAAAUUUAUAUAUACUAGUAAGAAAACUCUUGAAAGAUAUGUUUAUCUUGAAAUAUUUUGCAGAUCGAAACAGACAGACAGAAAAAUAAUUACACAGGAUCAUUUUUAAUAAAAUAUAGGUAAAAAUCUUUUAAAUAAUUUAAUUAUAUCGUCAGGGCCGUUUCUAGGCAUUAUACCUAGGAACGCGACCCUUGUGCAUUAUUUGGCUGACUUUCUGAAGUGCACAAAAUCAGUCGUAGAAAUGAUCCUGUAUACCAUUAAUGUUAAAUAAAUAGUUUAUUAAGAAAAUUCAGAUGACUGCUAUCUUGUAACUGGAUCUAAUAGAAACUUCAAUUAAUAUGUAAUUUGUAUUUUGAUUAAUAAGGAAAAAUUCUUUAAAUUUGAAUGUUCUGUGAUAUUUAAAAAUUCUUGAGAUAUGUUACAGAUGGAGAAAUUGUUUGUGGUAAUUUUUUACCUAUAGUUACUUAAGAUAAAUUUUUUAUAUUAAACACAAACUAAAUAUAUA